AGCAAUACUUGGCCGCUGUUUUUAGCGGAGCGCUUACAGCAGCAGAAGUGCUUUAACAGAUAACGGGUUUCUCUGCCUUAAUAUUCGUACAAACGUUAUACGUGGUUAUACGGUUUCUGGUUAUACUUACUUUCAUGCGAGAACUUGUGCCGCAGUAGGAGUAAUUAGGAUGGGUCGCAAGGAUGCUGCUGCUAUAUAUGUCACUGAAAAGAAGCACUUCAGCAAUGUCAAAUACCAGCGCAUGCAGCGAACUGAUGAUGGCUUCGUAGAUAUUCAGUUUCAGAAAACUCUGUCGAGGGUUCCCAAGAAGGCCAUUGCACUUGCAACUUGCCUGUUCAUUGGUGGAUCUGCACUGAUUGUCUUGGCAUCAUUCAUUUUUGCUGGAUUUUUCGACCCAAAAUAUGAUGACAGCAGCUGGCCAGUUCUUGUUCUGGGAGCCCUUAUGUUCAUCCCUGGUGCUUAUCACGUACGCAUUGCAUACUAUGCUUAUAAGAAGUAUCCAGGCUAUACAUUUGAUGACAUCCCAGAUUUUGAUUAGGUUCGCUGUUGUUGUUCUCACUGGACCAAAAAUAUUGUGUUCCUCGUCAUGACACUUGAAUUGCAUGGUCAUCCAGUAUGCUGUGCUGCCGUGGCAAGAUGCAGGUUUCCUGAUCUUAUGGACAUUAUGUACAGUUCUUAAGGUUGAAACAUGAAAUGAGGAUGAUUUGUGUGAUAAGGAAGGUGACUUAUCAUGGCUUCUGACGCAGGAAAUGCUGUGAAUGUAAACAUAUUGUAAAGACAAUAAACAUUGGUGUACUAUACUGUUCAUAAGAUUUCUGCAAAGCAAGCAGUCCAGUACAGGACUAAGCAAGUUUGCUCUCCUUUAGUUUCUUCAGCAUAGUUAAUAGCCUUUUUGGUGUUAUGUCUACUGAUGCAGGCAUCAGGGAGUCAAGAGCUUGUCCAGCUUUUUAGUCUUUACUUCCUGCAGGGAAAUUUUGUUUUCUUCCUGCAAAAAUAAACACUGUUCAACAUGCACACCAGUCAAGUCGAGAGCAUUAAAUUGUGUUUUUUUUUACUGCAAGGAUCGUAGCUGCUUGGUUGAAAUAUUUGCUUAGGUUAGUAUAUAUUUCACUGUUAUCAAUAUUUAACUUAAGCUGCUGGCUCAAUGUUUGGAGUACAGAGCACUCACUGUAUUGCAUCCCUAAGUACUGUUCUUCAAUAGGCAUUUUUAUAAUAUACUGGGUGCUGCACUUUGUACUAUCUGGAAUAUCAGUUUAGUGCAGAUAUUAUUGAAUAAUAUUUAUUGCUGGGCUAAUUGGUGCAUGAUUAUUUAUCAGAACUGUAGUUUGCUUGUGCAUGUUGCUUCUAUCAUUGCUCCUCUAUUGCUGUGCCACAUUUCUGGUAAAUAAUUAUUGAAUAAGCAACUUCAGUAGCGAAAAAACUUGGAGAACGCUUGAGCUUCGCCUUCAAGGAUAGAACACGAUAGCAUAAUCACGCCCCGUUUCCAUUGCCCUCACGAUCACUAGGCUGGCUUCUGUGGACGCCUCAACUGUGUCGCAAGGAAAGGAGCGUCUUCACACCUAACACUGGCCAUAUCAAACUCUACUAGAAUGCCUAUUGCAAGUAGAGUUGUGAAGUGCCCACUACGCCAUAAUUCUUCCUUUUGCGUAUUGGCGAUGUACCCACUACAGGUCUGCAAGGCAACACGCACACUUUCACACUUUGUUGAUGUUGUUUGUCAUGAUGGCAUGACUAUAUGUACCUGAACGCUUUGUAAUGGGUGGGCCAUUAAACCACUCACUCGUUGCACAAUUCACAUAUUUUGACACCUGGUUCAGUUCUGCGCUUCUGCCAUGCAAUAUUACGUGCGUUAAGGAGACUCAUCGCGCUACAUGCCAUUCGUAUAGGUUUUUUUUUUUUUUCGGGAUAGUUUCAAGCACUGGCAUGGCUCUGUGGUAGAACACCUACUUGCCACACAGAAGACCUGGGUUCAAUUCCAGUUCGAACGAAAUAUUUUUUAUUAUUUAUUUAUUUGCAUUUAUCUCGAAUUUUUGCUCACGGACAUUGCUGAUUUUUCGCUCACAACCAACGACGUCGACGCUGAAAUUUCUGCAAAAUGAGCUCUCUCAUGCUAUCGCGUUAAUAUGCAGUGUAGCCUGCGUUAAUAUGCAGUAAAUCAGAAAGGUGCUGGGUGUGAUCAGAAGCUUUUCUUAUGGCAGAACCUGUGAGACUUCCUCUGUAGCUUCGUGUUGCUUUUGUUUUCCCUUUUACAUUGUGUGAUCUGGCACUUUCUUCAUUUUAAAUAGAAGAUUAUAAAUUGUUGGCGAGGGAUAGACCUUUCUAGUGCCUUUGUGUUGCCUCUGUAUGGAAUCAUGUUGUUAUGGAUUACAUGUUAAGUGUAGAUUAAUUGUUCAGUCUAGUAGGCUGAACUAUUGUGCCAGAUAAUUUUUUUUUGCAGCAUUGGGUGCUAAAGAUUUGUCGUUACUUGUCAGACUCAUCAUGCACUUAUAGAGUGCCACUUUACUGAACUCCAUUGCCAGAAUAUUGUACCCUGUGCUUUCUGGUAAUUGCCUCCUACUGUUCACAAGCUUCCCACAAAAACUGGGCAUUAGCACUCAACAAAUGGACAGGCUGUGUGACUCUUUUGACGCUCACUUUCCAUAUUGAGAAACUAGCUUAAGCUAGAAUGGAACUGAGGGUGCACCACUACCAAGCAGCUACUCAGGCCUUGCUGCAAAAUGCCAUCUAUUUAGAUCCGCUAUUGUAAGCAAGUGCAGUCGAAAGUUGACAUCUUUUGAAUCCACAGUAGCAGAAACACAAUAAAACUAUUUCUUCUUUUU
rnacentral:misc_RNA from 1 species